rnacentral:rRNA from 1 species
UCGUGAAUCUUCCGCAAUGGGCGAAAGCCUGACGGAGCGACACCGCGUGUAGGAUGAAGGCCUUCGGGUUGUAAACUACUGUCACGUUCUAGGAACUGCUCAGCGUGAAUAGCGCUGAGCUCGACCAAGGCGGGAGGAAGCACCGGCUAACUCUGUGCCAGCAGCCGCGGUAAGACAGAGGGUGCAAACGUUGUUCGGAAUUACUGGGCAUAAAGCGCACGUAGGUGGUCCGCUAAGUCGCGUGUGAAAUCCCUCGGCUCAACCGGGGAAUUGCGGGCGAUACUGGCGGGCUAGAGAUCGGGAGGGGUGAGUGGAACUCCAGGUGGAGCGGUGAAAUGCGUAGAUAUCUGGAGGAACACCGGUGGCGAAAGCGACUCACUGGCCCGAUACUGACACUGAGGUGCGAAAGCUAGGGUAGCAAACGGGAUUAGAUACCCAAGUAGUCCCUGAGCGGGCUGGCAAGGCGCAU